rnacentral:rRNA from 1 species
UGGGGAAUAUUGCACAAUGGGCGCAAGCCUGAUGCAGCCAUGCCGCGUGUAUGAAGAAGGCCUUCGGGUUGUAAAGUACUUUCAGUCGGGAGGAAGGUGGUAAGGUUAAUAACCUUAUCAAUUGACGUUACCGACAGAAGAAGCACCGGCUAACUCCGUGCCAGCAGCCGCGGUAAUACGGAGGGUGCAAGCGUUAAUCGGAAUUACUGAGCGUAAAGCGCACGCAGGCGGUUGAUUGAGUCAGAUGUGAAAUCCCCGGGCUUAACCCGGGAAUUGCAUCUGAUACUGGUCAGCUAGAGUCUUGUAGAGGGGGGUAGAAUUCCAUGUGUAGCGGUGAAAUGCGUAGAGAUGUGGAGGAAUACCGGUGGCGAAGGCGGCCCCAUGGACAAAGACUGACGCUCAGGUGCGAAAGCGUGGGGAGCAAACAGG